UGCGGUUCAGAGAGAGAGAGACAGUAGUUCAGAGAGAGAGAGACAGAAAGAGUGAGAGAGAGACUGUGGUUCAGAGAGAGAGAGACAG